UUAGAGUUUGAUCCUGGCUCAGGACGAACGCUGGCGGCGUGCUUAACACAUGCAAGUCGAACGAGAGGAGAAGGAAGCUUGCUUCUUUCAAAUCUAGUGGCAAACGGGUGAGUAACACGUAAACAACCUGCCUUCAGGAUGGGGACAACAGACGGAAACGACUGCUAAUACCGAAUACGUUCCUUAGGUCGCAUGACUUUAGGAAGAAAGGGUGGCCUCUACUUGUAAGCUAUCGCCUGAAGAGGGGUUUGCGUCUGAUUAGGUAGUUGGUGAGGUAACGGCCCACCAAGCCGACGAUCAGUAGCCGGUCUGAGAGGAUGAACGGCCACACUGGAACUGAGACACGGUCCAGACUCCUACGGGAGGCAGCAGUGGGGAAUCUUCCGCAAUGGGCGAAAGCCUGACGGAGCAACGCCGCGUGAGUGAUGACGGCCUUCGGGUUGUAAAGCUCUGUGAUCGGGGACGAACGGUCAGCAGACGAAUACUCUGCUGAAGUGACGGUACCCGAAUAGCAAGCCACGGCUAACUACGUGCCAGCAGCCGCGGUAAUACGUAGGUGGCAAGCGUUGUCCGGAAUUAUUGGGCGUAAAGCGCGCGCAGGCGGCUUCUUAAGUCCAUCUUAAAAGUGYGGGGCUUAACCCCGUGAUGGGAUGGAAACUGAGAGGCUGGAGUAUCGGAGAGGAAAGUGGAAUUCCUAGUGUAGCGGUGAAAUGCGUAGAGAUUAGGAAGAACACCGGUGGCGAAGGCGACUUUCUGGACGACAACUGACGUUGAGGCGCGAAAGCGUGGGGAGCAAACAGGAUUAGAUACCUUGGUAGUCCACCCCGUAAACGAUGAAUACUAGGUGUAGGAGGUAUCGACCCCUUCUGUGCCGGA
rnacentral:rRNA from 1 species